GAAUUUGAUCUUGGUCAGGAUGAACGCUAGCGGCAGGCUUAACACAUGCAAGUCGAGGGGCAACGCGAGUAGCAAUACUUGGCGGCGACCGGCGCAAGGGUGCGUAACGCGUGAGCAACAUGCCCGUAUCAGGGGGAUAAUCCAGGGAAACUUGGUCUAAUACCCCAUAGUAAUUUUGUAAGGCAUCUUAUAAGAUUUAAAGCUUUGGUGGAUACGGAUUGGCUCGCGUGACAUUAGCUGGAUGGUAAGGUAACGGCUUACCAUGGCUAUGAUGUCUAGGGGUUCUGAGAGGAAGGUCCCCCACACUGGAACUGAGACACGGUCCAGACUCCUACGGGAGGCAGCAGUGAGGAAUAUUGGACAAUGGAUGGAAAUCUGAUCCAGCCAUGCCGCGUGAAGGAAGAAGGUCCUAUGGAUUGUAAACUUCUUUUGUAUGGGAGCAAUAAGGCCUACGAGUAGGUUGAUGAGAGUACCAUACGAAUAAGCACCGGCUAACUCCGUGCCAGCCGCGGC
rnacentral:rRNA from 1 species